AGCAGUAGCCGCGGGAAUACGUAGGUGGCAAGCGUUGUCCGGAAUUAUUGGGCGUAAAGGGCUCGCAGGCGGUUUCUUAAGUCUGAUGUGAAAGCCCCCGGCUCAACCGGGGAGGGUCAUUGGAAACUGGGAAACUUGAGUGCAGAAGAGGAGAGUGGAAUUCCACGUGUAGCGGUGAAAUGCGUAGAGAUGUGGAGGAACACCAGUGGCGAAGGCGACUCUCUGGUCUGUAACUGACGCUGAGGAGCGGAAGCGUGGGGAGCGAACAGGAUUAGAUACCCCCGUAGUCCCUGUCUCUUAUAC
rnacentral:rRNA from 1 species